GACGAACGCUGGCGGCGUGCCUAAUACAUGCAAGUAGAACGCUGAAGAGAGGAGCUUGCUCUUCUUGGAUGAGUUGCGAACGGGUGAGUAACGCGUAGGUAACCUGCCUGGUAGCGGGGGAUAACUAUUGGAAACGAUAGCUAAUACCGCAUAAUAGUAGAUGUUGCAUGACAUUUGCUUAAAAGGUGCAAUUGCAUCACUACCAGAUGGACCUGCGUUGUAUUAGCUAGUUGGUGAGGUAACGGCUCACCAAGGCAACGAUACAUAGCCGACCUGAGAGGGUGAUCGGCCACACUGGGACUGAGACACGGCCCAGACUCCUACGGGAGGCAGCAGUAGGGAAUCUUCGGCAAUGGACGGAAGUCUGACCGAGCAACGCCGCGUGAGUGAAGAAGGUUUUCGGAUCGUAAAGCUCUGUUGUAAGAGAAGAACGAGUGUGAGAGUGGAAAGUUCACACUGUGACGGUAUCUACCA
rnacentral:rRNA from 1 species